rnacentral:rRNA from 1 species
AUUGAACGCUGGCGGCAGGCCUAACACAUGCACGUCGAGCGAGCGGCGGACGGGUGAGUAAUGCCUGGGAAUUACCCAGUCGAGGUGGAUAACCGUUGGACACGACUGCUACUCCCUCAUCCGAUUGGAUUGCCCAGGUGGGAUUAGCUCGUUGGGGAGGUAAUGGCUCACCAAGGCGACGCUCCCUAGCUGGACUGAGAGGAUGAUCAGCCACACUGGAACUGAGACACGGUCCAGACUCCUACGGGAGGCAGCAGUGGGGAAUAUUGCACAAUGGGGGAAACCCUGAUGCAGCCAUGCCGCGUGUGUGAAGAAGGCCUUCGGGUUGUAAAGCACUUUCAGCGAGGAGGCGUUACUCGCAGAAGAAGCACCGGCUAACUCCGGGCCAGCAGCCGCGGUAAUUC